GACUUACUAAAUAAUUCUCGAUGUAAACAAUUGAACAUUGCGUUACAUGUCUGUAUUGUAAAAUUUGGAUAUAGGAGUAACAUGCACAUUCUAUGCAUAAUGCAUACCAUAUGGACGCCUAAGGGCGCACCCAAUAGUUUCAGAAGUCAAGCCACAGAAAUACAGUCUCCACAAUUUAGAAGCAUAUUUAAUGACGUAUUACCGCUAUUUAUCUUUCAAAGACUCAGUAGUUUGUUUAUGAUGGAAUCUUUGUUAGGACAAAUGGACAUAAUUAGUUUGCCGUCCGCAAAAAAAAUUGAAAAAAUUGGGAGACAAUUUUAUGGAAAGUGAUAAUUAUAUAAAAUUUUUGUGAUACUUCUUUUAUGAUAUUAGACAUGAUCUAGAUCAGACUGCAGGGGAAGUAAUGAGUUAGUUCUCUUUAGUUUGGAUGAGGAAGUUUGUUUGGAAGAGAAAAAUGAGUUAGUUUUUAGUUUGGAAGGUGAAGUUAGUUUUGAAGGUGUAGUGUUGUAGACACACUCCUCUCAUGAUUGACAUAUGAAACAGUAGGAGACAAUGAGAUUGUUUUUGCAUGCAAUGUAGAUGGUGGGAAAUAGCAAGAAAUAUACUUACGUUUAAUUAAAUUCAACCGACAACGGCGAUGAGAAUAAAAUUAUAAAACAACAUUGCGGAAUGUCAAAAUUACUUUAAGAAGCUUAUUUAUAGAGAAAAUAAAGAUAAAAUAAAGAUAAAAAUGUUAAAAAAAAGAAUCCGGACUUGAUUUUGUUGAUAUUGGACAAGUUCAAGUUGCGUUUAAAAGAAAGGAGGGAUAUAGUGUUGUAGACACACCCCUCUCAUGAUUGACAUAAUUAUUAUGAAACAGGGGAAGUUAGCAGGGGAAGUUAGUUUUCUUUAGUUUCAUCACUGAUGCUUAAAAGGACUCAACAAGUGUUUCAAUCUAUGAUUUAACCAUUAAGCUCUAACCCAAGCUUACUAUUGAUGAGUAUACAUUUGAGCGGCAUUGGAAUAACUUACUAUAUGACAUUGGACCAGACAAACCAAUUUAGUAGAGGGGAUUGCUGCUUAAUGGAUAAAGUAAAAUUAACCGCUUUUAUAAAACAAUUCACAUAAUUAUCUUCCAAAGUUUUAAUUAUGGACAGGCAGACAAUUUACACUAGUUUACUUCAUAUUUUCAACAUUCCUAAUUAAAACUACAGCAUUAUGACAUAUUAUGACAUCAAUACGAG